rnacentral:rRNA from 1 species
AUUGAACGCUGGCGGCAGGCCUAACACAUGCAAGUCGAGCGAGUGGCGGACGGGUGAGUAAUGUAUGGGGAUCUGCCUGAUGGCGGGGGAUAACUACUGGAAACGGUAGCUAAUACCGCAUACCAUCAGAUGACCCCAUAUGGGAUGAGAUUGUAGGUGAGGUAACGGCUCACCUAGGCGACGAUCCCUAGCUGGUCUGAGAGGAUGAUCAGCCACACUGGGACUGAGACACGGCCCAGACUCCUACGGGAGGCAGCAGUGGGGAAUAUUGCGCAAUGGGGGCAACCCUGACGCAGCCAUGCCGCGUGAAUGAAGAAGGCCUUCGGGUUGUAAAGUACUUUCAGCGGGGAGGCGUUACCCGCAGAAGAAGCACCGGCUAACUCCGUGCCAGCAGCCGCGGUAAUAC